GUGCCCUCAAAAUCUUAGGAAGCUACAAAUAUCAUGUUCCCUCAAACGACAGGACCUUAUCUCUAGAUACUCCGAGGAAAACAAAAAAAUGGAAGCGAGCUCCGCCGUUUUCUUCUUCUCCGUAAAACCCCUUCUCCCUUUCAACCUCUGCAGCUCUUCUCCCUCCUCCUCCUCUUCUUCUUCUUCUCCGAGACAUCUCCUCGUCGUAAACUUCAAGCCAAGAACUAUAAAAUCGCUGAUGUUUCCUCCGUCUUCUCGAGGUUCUCUUUCCCUUUCGCCACCCUUCGCCGUUGCUGAAGCCUUAGAGCAAGUAGCAGACACUUCGGAUUCUCCGAGAGGGGCGUCGCACAAAAUCGACAAGAACGGGAGAUUUUGCAGCCCGAGAGCUGCACGAGAGCUUGCUCUGUGAGUUUGUGCACUUGUUUUGGCUCAAAGUUAGAGUCUUUGGGAGUUUGGUUGCUUGUCAGGUUUCUAAUUGGAAGAAUUUUUUUUUUUUUGGACUGAGUUAGGUCAAAAAAUAUUUUGAACACGAACCAUGAGGGAUGUUAGUUUUUGCAUAAUUAAACACAUGAAAAGAGUCAUAUUUUAGAGCGAUGAAGAGAAUACCGACCGAGUAACAUGGAAUGCAUUAUGAAACCCAAUUUCAUACUUGGUGAUGCUUGGUAUACUUAAAAGCCCACCGCGGGACACCAGAAACAGGCCCCACUGCCUAUAAAUUGGAUCAAGAGCCCUCCGACAAACCGAGUCCCAGCGCCAACGCUUGUUAGGGUUUUCUCAGUCUCCGCGGCUCCUCGCCCUUCAGCUUCUUUGGGCGAGAAGCCCUUUUUACAAUUCUUCUAUGUUCCUUGAUUUUUUUGAUUUGAUCUCUAUUCUCUCCUUUCCUCCUGUUGGAAGAUCUUAUGCUAAUUUCUUAGAUUACAGGGUCAUACAUCGCUUCUCUGAUAUUUGCUAAGCUUUUCUAUGGUUUCUGUUAGUGAAUGAUGUUGUUUUCAUCCAUUGUUUAUUUUAGCUGUGUUUAAGGAUGGCCUAAUAUUGCAAUUGUUUGCUGCUGGAUUUUGGGUGCAGCAAGGAAUCUAUCGUUAGGCCAAAUGUUUCUCCUUCCUUUAGCUCCGAAUCAUCCUUUCUAGGGUUUUUCGGUGACAAGGUAGGUAAAUUGCUUCAAUUUUUUUUCCAGUUUUAUCGAUAUAUUUCAACAAUUUCUUCGAUUACUUUUGCCUUCGUUUUUUCUUUUCCUUUCUGUUUGUUGUGAUUUGGUUUAUGUAUUCUAUAGGCGUGAUGUUGGAUGAUGAAGAAAAUCAUUCGGAUUCCCAUUGAUUUCCGUAACAUGAUAUUAUUAACCAGCUACUUCUGAAACAUUAUGCCAGCUCACUUCCAUUACGAAGAUAACGUUUCGUCAAAGUAAAGUUUGGUUUUUGAUUUUUUUUGGUUAUUCCUCUCAUGCUCGUUAUCGACUUCGUUUUAAAUUUCUACAUGCUUGUCUUUCGUUUCUAUUUUGGUAGCAUAUGGUUCGAAUUCCACUCUAUUGAAAAUUUUAAUGAGCCUGUGAUGUGAGAAAAAUAUAUUUGCUACUCUUGAUGGGGAAACCCAUCUGAUGACAAUCUACCACCAAGAUCUCUGAGGCUCUGGUUUCCACUACCCUAUUCAAGUCUUCUUUUUUCUGUUAAAAAUCUCCUUUUUUUAUUUAAUUUCUGUAUGUUUAAGAUUUAAACUAUGGUCGCAUAGUAUAAAUGUCAUCAGGUCUCAAAAAACACUCGCAUAGUUUAGAUACUUUCAUGAGCCUGUGAUGAUAGAAAAAUAUUUGUUGCUCUUGAUGGGUGACCCAUCUGAUGAUCAUCAACUAGCAAGAUCUCUGAGGUUGAUGGUGCUAGUUAAGAAUGUGGCACUUGCGGUGGAUAUAUUCUUGAUUUUCUAAUAAAAAUAAAAAUUUUGGGGAAAGCGGUUGAUUCUUUGAAUUUGUUGUUACAACCACUCUCUCAUCUUAUCUACACUCAACUUAUAAUGUUUGGAGAAAUUAAAUUGAUUGAGGAAUGAGACUGAACUUACUUCAGCAUGCCAUGCAUUAGAUAUUGGAUUAUAUGUUGAAUGCUGCGGAAUCUAACAUUAUCCUUCUAUAUAUCUCUUCUAGUCAAAAUGGGUCAUAACUCAUUUGAGUUUUUGUUCAAGUCAUUUUUUUUUAUAAUUUAGUUCAAUCAUAACAUAGUCAUAUUUUAAGAUGCAGAGCAUAAAAUGUUGACAUUUGUAUGGAUUAAACCUUCUGUUUUUGGUAACUCUUUUCCAAAAUGCGCAAAUCCUACAAUUGCUUGAAAUAUGAUCAAACUCUUUGGACCCAUCUCCCAUCCAUCUUAUCUUGUCAGAUUGGAGUAAUCCACUAGUUUUUGCUUGUGAUGACCAUCUAAAUGGUAAAAUAAUCUUUAAUAUGAAUGGUUUGAAGUUUAGCACCAUGUCGUGAAACAUAAUCUAGAGUUUUACAUGAAAAAUUGUAAUGAUUUAAAUUGCAAUGACAGUCCUUUAUCCAAUUUAUACCUAUGAUGCCUGUCUAACUUGAUGAUCCCGAUGGCUGAUUUGAACUUUCUUUUUGCUAACCCUUUAUUUGGAUGCGGCAAUAUAAAUCCAUUGGAAUCUAUCCCAUUUGUCUUGUCAUCCACAGGUAGUCAGUUUUGAUUUAAACUCAAAAUGUUGCAAAAUCUAUUCAACCAACCAACCCAGAUGGUGCAACCAUCUUGUUAUUUUAAAAAAAAUUGUGGGCAAAUUUUUGUUAUUUGUUAGCUGUUUGCUGAUAUUAAACUUUUGGAAUGUAAAAAUUAUAGUCUUUAUUGCAUGCGCUAGAACGGUUGUUGAUGCUACCAAUCUUUGAGGCGCAUUCCUAUGGGCUCAAUUUUCGAGAUCAGCACACAAUGAAUGUAACCAAUGGUAAUGCACCUGGGUGACUGGUGGCAUGUAAUGAAUGUUAUGGUUUCAUAGUCUGGCUUGGACUAUAGACAAUUUGGCUCAAGCCAAUAAAGUAGAAGAAACUUUUAGAGACAUUCACUUUUUUAGAGAGUU